rnacentral:rRNA from 1 species
UGGGGAAUAUUGCGCAAUGGGGGAAACCCUGACUCAGCGACGCCGCGUGCGGGAUGAAGGCCUUCGGGUUGUAAACCGCUUUUGAUUGGGAGCAAGCUUUCGGGUGAGUGUACCUUUCGAAUAAGCGCCGGCUAACUACGUGCCAGCAGCCGCGGUAAUACGUAGGGCGCAAGCGUUAUCCGGAAUUAUUGGGCGUAAAGAGCUUGUAGGCGGUUCGUCGCGUCUGGUGUGAAAGCCCAUCGCUUAACGGUGGGUUUGCGCCGGGUACGGGCGGGCUAGAGUGCAGUAGGGGAGACUGGAAUUCCCGGUGUAACGGUGGAAUGUGUAGAUAUCGGGAAGAACACCAAUGGCGAAGGCAGGUCUCUGGGCUGUUACUGACGCUGAGAAGCGAAAGCGUGGGGAGCGAACAGG